rnacentral:rRNA from 1 species
AACGAACGCUGGCGGCAUGCCUAACACAUGCAAGUCGAACGAGACAUUCGGGUCUAGUGGCGCACGGGUGCGUAACACGUGGGAAUCUGCCCUUUGCUUCGGAAUAACAGUUAGAAAUGACUGCUAAUACCGGAUGAUGUCGAAAGACCAAAGAUUUAUCGGCAAAGGAUGAGCCCGCGUAGGAUUAGGUAGUUGGUGGGGUAAAGGCCUACCAAGCCGACGAUCCUUAGCUGGUCUGAGAGGAUGAUCAGCCACACUGGGACUGAGACACGGCCCAGACUCCUACGGGAGGCAGCAGUGGGGAAUAUUGGACAAUGGGCGAAAGCCUGAUCCAGCAAUGCCGCGUGAGUGAUGAAGGCCUUAGGGUUGUAAAGCUCUUUUACCAGGGAUGAUAAUGACAGUACCUGGAGAAUAAGCUCCGGCUAACUCCGUGCCAGCAGCCGCGGUAAUACGGAGGGAGCUAGCGUUGUUCGGAAUUACUGGGCGUAAAGCGCACGUAGGCGGCUACUCAAGUCAGAGGUGAAAGCCCAGGGCUCAACCCUGGAACUGCCUUUGAAACUAGGUAGCUAGAAUCUUGGAGAGGUCAGUGGAAUUCCGAGUGUAGAGGUGAAAUUCGUAGAUAUUCGGAAGAACACCAGUGGCGAAGGCGACUGACUGGACAAGUAUUGACGCUGAGGUGCGAAAGCGUGGGGAGCAAACAGG